GAUGAACGCUGGCGGCGUGCCUAAUACAUGCAAGUCGAGCGAACAGAUGAGGAGCUUGCUCCUCUGACGUUAGCGGCGGACGGGUGAGUAACACGUGGAUAACCUACCUAUAAGACUGGGAUAACUUCGGGAAACCGGAGCUAAUACCGGAUAAUAUAUUGAACAGCAUGGUUCAAUAGUGAAAGACGGUUUUGCUGUCACUUAUAGAUGGAUCCGCGCCGCAUUAGCUAGUUGGUAAGGUAACGGCUUACCAAGGCAACGAUGCGUAGCCGACCUGAGAGGGUGAUCGGCCACACUGGAACUGAGACACGGUCCAGACUCCUACGGGAGGCAGCAGUCGGGAAUCUUCCGCAAUGGGCGAAAGCUUGACGGAGCAACGCCGCGUGAGUGAUGAAGGUCUUCGGAUCGUAAAACUCUGUUAUUAGGGAAGAACAAAUGUGUAAGUAACUAUGCACGUCUUGACGGUACCUAAUCAGAAAGCCACGGCUAACUACGUG
rnacentral:rRNA from 1 species